CUCCCGCGCCAUCCGCCGGAGCCAGCGGUGCCCUUGGCCGGCGUCAUAGCUGCGUGCCGCGAACCGCUUCCUGCAGCACCGUCGUCUCGGCCAUCGCUUCUGAUUUUCCCAGGUCCCUCUCGCUUCUGGCUCCAGGUCUCCACCAUCGGUUCAACCUCCACAAAGACUCAUGGCGCUGGACAACACGGUGCAGGAAUUGCAUGGAUUGGGCAAGCAAGCCCUGAUCGAAGUGCCAAUCGCUCGAGAAUGGGUAGUAGCAGCCAAGCAGCGACGACAUCGUGGUGGUGGCAACAGCAGAGCAUGACGAAGAGGAAAGACGAGCAAGGAAAAGACAGAGCAGUAGCUGUUCCAAGCAGCCAUGCAGAAAUGUAUCUUCUCUGAGGAGUCAGGACCCAAAAAUGCUUCCAUGCUCUAAAAUCAGAUCAAAGCAAGAUGAAAGAAACUAAUUAUUCAUUUGAAAUAACGACAAAGUUCAAUUGUAGAGUAAGAAGGUAAUUAGUCAAUGUUUGACAGUUGAGAACUGUGACUUUAUUCCCUUCUCAUGGACGCCACCAUCUCUUGGAGAAUGAGGACAGCAAGAGAUGCAGCCCAGUUGGUGGAGGAGUGCAGGGAAUGCACAGCCGAUGUCAAAAUUCCAGCUGGGCAAACUACGAUGGGGACAACGAACAUAUUAUCAGUUUUCUUAUUAUACAAUAGUUGCCACAUACCAGAAGAUUACUCAUUUCUAAUACUAAUGUAUAGACAUGAUUUUUUCAGAGGACUGCCAUUUGUUGAAUGACAGAGCAGGCCUGGUGGGAAUGCUCACUAUCCAUUAACCUCAUUUAGAUGCUUGUUUGAGAGAAAAUUUUAAAUAUGUCUUUCAUGCAUACAUUACUAAUCCUCUAAUCUACCAGAUGGAACACAAAGGAAAGUAGGUAUAAUUUGCAUUAUGUUAGAACAAGCAAGUGGCACAUCUAUAUAAGGUCGCUAAUUACUUGUAAUUUCCUAAAUUGUGGCAGUAUAUCACUGAACUUCAAAGAAUAGGAUACAUAUAUUAUAGUAUCAAAAGCUAUUGGCUGCUUGGUUUAACUCAUGUCAAUUACUCCUUCCAAAGCUGCAAAUUAUAUUCAGUAUCUUGCAUGCAAAAUUGAUUUCAGUUUUGUGUUAAUGUCACAUGAAAAUCUACAUUUGAAACAUAAAAAUUACUAAUAUCUCUUUCGUUGAGAACAUUCUUUACAAAAAAAGAUAUUUGUGCACUUCUCGUGUUGAAGCAUGGGCUGCAUCUGAACUCUUCUUGCUUGUUUGUCGUGUUGCAGCUGGUCAUCGACUUCUUGGCAUCCUGGUUUGAGCUGUGCCGCUUCAUCGAGCCGGCCUUCAAGGAGAUGGCCUCCUGCUUGACCAACGCCAUCUUCGUCAAGAUCGAAGUCGACAAGAUCUCGUGUUCUUCUAAUGCUGCACAGCGAGAGCGUACACUUGCCUACACCUAAGAUGCCAGUUAACCAUGCAAAUGAGUUCCCAGCUGAUGUCUUGACUCUUGAGAGAUUCUGGGAGGCGAACGUGCUCAGGAGAUAAGCAGCUGGGUUAAAAUCGCUUGGUCAGUAUGUUAUAUAUUGCAGAGAGAUGCAGUCUAUAACUGUCCUGGCAGUUCUCAUGUUCACAUUGAUAUUUCUGCACACGUUUGUAAAACUUUUUGUGGAACUAUUUUUAUAUUCUUACAUUUUUCUUUUUCCGCAUUGUGUACCUUCUGGCUCUGCUGGACAUGGCAAAGAAUAGCUAAAAGACAUAUGUUGUGAUGAUUAUUCUUUGAUACAAAUCUUUAGCUU